ACCGGCGGCUCGAGUGGUAACCGUUAUUAUUGGGUCUAAAGGGUCUGUAGCCGGCCGGAUAAGUCUCUUGGGAAAUCUGGCAGCUUAACUGUCAGGCUUUCAGGAGAUACUGUCUGGCUCGAGGCCGGGAGAGGUGAGAGGUACUUCAGGGGGAGGGGUAAAAUCAGGUGAUCCUUGAAGGAGCGCCAGUGGCGAGGGCGUCGCACCAGAUCGGACCUGACGGCAAGGUACUAAAACUAGUGACACUAACCU
rnacentral:rRNA from 1 species